UACAGAGGGGGCAAGCGUUGUUCGGAAUUACUGGGCGUAAAGGGCGCGUAGGCGGCCUUCUAAGUCAGACGUGAAAUCCCUCGGCUCAACCGGGGAACUGCGUCUGAGACUGGAAGGCUUGAAUCCGGGAGAGGGAUGCAGAAUUCCGGGUGUAGCGGUGGAAUGCGUAGAGAUCCGGAAGAAUACCGGUGGCGAAGGCGGCCUGCUGGGCAGUGGCUGACACUGAGGCGCGACAGCGUGGGGAGCAAACAGG
rnacentral:rRNA from 1 species